ensembl:misc_RNA Metazoa_SRP Metazoan signal recognition particle RNA
GCUGGGCAUAGUGGCUCAUGCCUGUACUCUCAGCUACUUGGGAGGUUGAGGUGGGAGGAUUGCUCGAGCCCAGGAUUUCAAGGCUGCAGUGAGCCAUGAUUGCACCACUGCACCCCAGCCUGGGCGACAGAGCAAGACCCUGUCUCAA